GCUGGGUACAGUGGUGUAUGCCUAUAAUCCCAGUGGCUUAGGAGGCUGAGACAGGAGGAUAGCGAGUUUAAGCCAGCCUCCGCAAAUUAGCAAGUCCCUAAAGAGCUUAGGUGGGAGACCCUGUCUCAA
rnacentral:sRNA from 1 species